rnacentral:rRNA from 1 species
GUAUGCGCUGAAAUCUUUAUUCGGAUGUGGGGUGGUGCGGUGAAACCAUGAUCAGCGCAUGGCGUUCCGGGUGAGAGGGAUCAAACAUCUCAAAGAGCGUGUGAUCCCAUUCUUCGAAGCGCAUCCGCUGAAAACCAAAAAGCGCAUUGACUUUAUGAAAUUCCGUGAAGUCGUGCUGCUGAUGGCGCGUGGUGAACAUCUGACGCCAGAAGGCAUCGAACGAAUACGCGAAAUCGCGGCUCGGAUGAAGGCCCAGCGAGAAAGAUAAAGUCCGGCUCUCCUGGAAACAGGAUGAGGUGAACCGAGCGAAAUUCCUUGUCAGGUAAGUUCUGACCCGCACGAAUGGUGUAACGACUGGAGCACUGUCUCAACGAGGGACUCGGCGAAAUUGAACUAGUGGUGAAGAUGCCAUUUACCCGCACCCGGACAAAAAGACCCCGUGGAGCUUUACUGUACCCUGGCAUUGCGCUAGGACUUCGUCUGUGUAGGAUAGGUGGGAGGCUUUGAAGCUGGGGCGCUAGCCUCGGUGGAGCCAACGGUGAAAUACCACCCUGAUGGAGUUUUGGCCCUAACCCUGAUCCGUCAUCCGGAUAGGAGACAGUGCCAGGCGGGCAGUUUGACUGGGGUGGUCGCCUCCUAAAAGGUAACGGAGGCGCCCAAAGGUUCCCUCAGGUGGAAUGGAAACCCACUGUUGAGUGUACAGGCACAAGGGAGCUUGACUGCGAGACAAACAGGUCGAGCAGAGACGAAAGUCGGGCUGAGUGAUCCCACGAUACCGUGUGGAAGGGUCGUGGCUUAUCGGAUAAAAGCUACCCCGGGGAUAACAGGCUGGUGAAGUCCAAGAGUUCACAUCGACGACUUCGCUCGGCACCUCGAUGUCGGCUCAUCGCAUCCUGGGGCUGGACAAGGUCCCAAGGGUUGGGCUGUUCGCCCAUUAAAGCGGUACGUGAGCUGGGUUCAGACCGUCGUGAGACAGGUCGGUCUCUAUCCACUGUGGGCGGAAGGGAAUUGAGGGGGGCUGGCUCUAGUACGAGAGGACCGAGCUGGACGCAGCGCUGGUGAGCGAGUUGUCGUGCCAACGGCAUAGCUCGGUAGCCACCUGCGGUGGGGAUAACCGCUGAAAGCAUCUAAGCGGGAAGCCUGCCCCAAGAUGAGUUCCCUCACUCGAGAGAGGUAAGACCGCACGGAGACGACGUGCUAGAUAGGCGGGGGGUGUAAGCGCAGCGAUGCGUGAGCCGACCCGUACUAAUGGUCGAGGGCUUGCCGUC